AGAGUUUGAUCAUGGCUCAGGAUGAACGCUGGCGGCGUGCUUAACACAUGCAAGUCGAACGAUGAAGGUAGCUUGCUACUGGAUUAGUGGCGAACGGGUGAGUAACACGUGAGUAACCUGCCCUUGACUCUGGGAUAAGCACUGGAAACGGUGUCUAAUACCGGAUACGAGCUUCAGCCGCAUGGCUAGGAGUUGGAAAGAAUUUUGGUCAAGGAUGGACUCGCGGCCUAUCAGCUAGUUGGUGAGGUAAUGGCUCACCAAGGCGACGACGGGUAGCCGGCCUGAGAGGGUGACCGGCCACACUGGGACUGAGACACGGCCCAGACUCCUACGGGAGGCAGCAGUGGGGAAUAUUGCACAAUGGGCGAAAGCCUGAUGCAGCAACGCCGCGUGAGGGACGACGGCCUUCGGGUUGUAAACCUCUUUUAGUAGGGAAGAAGCGAAAGUGACGGUACCUGCAGAAAAAGCACCGGCUAACUACGUGCCAGCAGCCGCGGUAAUACGUAGGGUGCAAGCGUUAUCCGGAAUUAUUGGGCGUAAAGAGCUCGUAGGCGGUUUGUCGCGUCUGCUGUGAAAACUGGAGGCUCAACCUCCAGCCUGCAGUGGGUACGGGCAGACUAGAGUGCGGUAGGGGAGAUUGGAAUUCCUGGCGUAGCGGUGGAAUGCGCAGAUAUCAGGAGGAACACCAAUGGCGAAGGCAGAUCUCUGGGCCGUAACUGACGCUGAGGAGCGAAAGCAUGGGGAGCGAACAGGAUUAGAUACCCUAGUAGUCC
rnacentral:rRNA from 1 species